rnacentral:rRNA from 1 species
UGUGGUUAAAAAGCUCGUAGUUGGAUCUCAACAGCCUUGAAGCGGUUAACUUUGUAGUUUUACUGCUUUAUAGGCUGUGCUUUUGCUGGAGGUUUAGGGGUGCUCUUGAUCGAGUGUCUCUGGAUGCCAGCAGGUUUACUUUGAAAAAAUUAGAGUGCUCAAAGCAGGCUAAAAUGCCUGAAUAUUCGUGCAUGGAAUAAUAGAAUAGGAUGUCGAUCCUAUUUUGUUGGUUUUCGGGACUCGACAUAAUGAUAAAUAGGGACAGUCGGGGGCAUUUGUAUUCAAACGACAGAGGUGAAAUUCUUGGACCGUUUGAAGACAAACUACUGCGAAAGCAUUUGCCAAGAAUGUUUUCAUUAAUCAAGAACGAAAGUUAGAGGUUCGAAGGCGAUUAGAUACCGCCCUAGUUCUAACCAUAAACGAUGCCAGCUAGCGAUCUGCCUGCGUUUUUACUGUAGACUGGGCAGGAAGCUUCCGGGAAACCAAAGCAUUUGGGUUCCAGGGGAAGUAUGGUUGCAAAGCUGAAACUUAAAGGAAUUGACGGAAGGGCACCACCAGGAGUGGAGCCUGUGGCUUAAUUUGACUCAACACGGGAAAUCUCACCAGGCCCGGACACUGGAAG